rnacentral:rRNA from 1 species
GACGAACGCUGGCGGCGUGCCUAAUACAUGCCAGUAGAACGCUGAAGGAGGAGCUUGCUCUUCUGGAUGAGUUGCGAACGGGUGAGUAACGCGUAGGUAACCUGCCUGGUAGCGGGGGAUAACUAUUGGAAACGAUAGCUAAUACCGCAUAAGAGUAGAUGUUGCAUGACAUUUGCUUAAAAGGUGCAAUUGCAUCACUACCAGAUGGACCUGCGUUGUAUUAGCUAGUUGGUGGGGUAACGGCUCACCAAGGCGACGAUACAUAGCCGACCUGAGAGGGUGAUCGGCCACACUGGGACUGAGACACGGCCCAGACUCCUACGGGAGGCAGCAGUAGGGAAUCUUCGGCAAUGGACGGAAGUCUGACCGAGCAACGCCGCGUGAGUGAAGAAGGUUUUCGGAUCGCAAAGCUCUGUUGUAAGAGAAGAACGAGUGUGAGAGUGGAAAGUUCACACUGUGACGGUAUCUUACCAGAAAGGGACGGCUAACUACGUG